AUUGAACGCUGGCGGCAGGCCUAACACAUGCAAGUCGAACGAGUGGCGGACGGGUGAGUAAUGUCUGGGAAACUUCCCGAUGGAGGGGGAUCACUACUGGAAACGGUAUCUUAUAACGCAUACUAUCCGUUUUGCCCAUAUGGGAUUAGCUAGUGGGUGGGGGAACGGCUCACCUGGGCGACGAUCCCUAGCUGGUCUGAGAGGAUGACCAGCCACACUGGAACUGAGACACGGUCCAGACUCCUACGGGAGGCAGCAGUGGGGAAUAUUGCACAAGGGGCGCAAGCCUGAUGCAGCCAUGCCGCGUGUAUGAAGAAGGCCUUCGGGUUGUAAAGUACUUUCAGCGAGGAGGCGUUACUCGCAGAAGAAGCACCGGCUAACUCCGUGCCAGCAGCCGCGGUAAUAC
rnacentral:rRNA from 1 species